rnacentral:rRNA from 1 species
UCCACGCCCUAAACGAUGUUCACUAGUCGUCGGGAUGCUCGUCAUCUCGGUGAUGCACUUAACAGAUUAAGUGAACCGCCUGGGGAGUACGGUCGCAAGAUUAAAACUCAAAGGAAUAGACGGGGACCCGCACAAGUGGUGGAGCAUGUGGUUUAAUUCGAAGAUACGCGAAGAACCUUACCUAGCCUUGACAUUGAUUGAAUAGACCAGAGAUGGACUAGUGCCCUUCGGGG